CUUGGUUCUUCCGGAAUCAAGGAGAACGAUAGCAGAACUGAGCGCCAAUGUCUGGCUUCAGGAAUCAGGAUAGAAGAGCCAAGCUGGUAACGAAAGCAGGACAUGGUGCUAGCUUCUCUCCCUUUCUCCUCCCCUUCUCCUCCCCCCACUUCACUUGUCCCAAGAAUACCACCACUACCUACAAUCCCCACCUCCUCCCCUCCCUCCUCCUCCUCCUCCUCGCUCUCCAGGCGAACAACGAUAACCCUUCUCGCCUCCUCCCUCGCCUUUCCUUCCCUCUACUCUUCACCGCUCUUCGCGGGGGCUGAUGAGAAGGACGAACCCCAGCGAGACGAGGAGCGGGUCGUCCAACUCUUCCAGGUCCUCUUCUCCCUCUCCUCUCUUUCUCUCUCACAAGACCCAAAUGACACCCGCUUCAUUAGGAAUCAGGAGGCAUCGCCUUCGGUGGUCUUUAUCAAAGAUUUGGAGCUACGAGGCGCUGCGACCUCAGCGAAACCCCCGGCGGUAGAGGAAUUGGGGGAAGAUGAUGAAGAAUUGAGGGAUGCCAAGGUCGAAGGUACGGGCUCCGGGUUCGUGUGGGACAAGACUGGCCACAUCGUGACAAAUUAUCAUGUGGUGGCGAAACUGGCUACCGAUAAAUCCGGCUUACACCGCUGCAAGGUUUAUUUUGAAGACUUUAAAGGCAAUACCUUUUCCAAGGAAGGAAAGAUUGUUGGAUUCGAUCCUGCUUAUGAUCUUGCUGUUCUGAAGGUUGAUGUUGAGGGAGACAAAUUAAGACCGGUGCCUAUUGGUACAUCACAUGAUCUACGAGUGGGACAGAGCUGUUUUGCCAUUGGGAAUCCGUAUGGGUAUGAGCACACUCUAACUACUGGGGUUGUGAGUGGUUUGGGUAGGGAAAUACCAUCACCAAAUGGAAGGCCAAUUCGAGGAGCUAUACAGACAGAUGCUGCUAUCAAUGCUGGAAACUCUGGUGGGCCUUUGAUCGAUUCUUAUGGCCAUGUUAUUGGAGUUAACACAGCUACAUUCACCCGUAAAGGAAACUACCCGCAACCAUCAAGGAGAGAGUUACCAAGACAUGAAACCACCUAAAAGAUGGUAGUUAUUGUUGGAAAUAACUACCAAUCUGCAAUACAAGAAUUGGAAGAAGGGACUGGAAUAUCAUCUGGUGUCAACUUUGCAAUUCCAAUCGAUGCUGUUGUACGGACAGUUCCUUACUUGAUAGUAUAUGGAACUUCUGUUAGCAAUAGGUUUUGACUUCUUUGUGUUCUAUGUCAUCAGAUUCAAUUUUUUCAUGCUUUUCCACAGCUUAUAUUCAGUGUCAAUAUAUAGUGUCAUUAACAGUGUUGCGUGAUUGUAGUAUUGUUGAAUUAAUCAUAUAGUUGGUUUAUGCAUUAAAUUUCAUACAGAUUAAAACAAAUAAGUAUACAAUGCUCAUGUUUAAGUA